rnacentral:sRNA from 1 species
UAUAUUAUUUGGUCAACAUCGGUCAAUACUGGUCAACGCCGGAUUCUAAUGAUCGAAACAUCAAAGUAGGAUGGUUAUGAUGUAACAUGACUUAUGUUUGUUCGUGUAUAUCUGUAUGUGAUGACUAUAUUUCGUGUAGCAAACGAAACAUUUUUAAAGUUUUCAUGUAUGCCGAUGUGUUGGCUUAUAUUUCACGUAACUGAUAAAUAUUUUUCCAAUAUUAAAUCAUAUCGUAAGAAAAUACAUUUU